CCUACGGGUGGCAGCAGUGAGGAAUAUUGGUCAAUGGGCGAGAGCCUGAACCAGCCAAGUCGCGUGAAGGAUGACGGCCCUACGGGUUGUAAACUUCUGUUGUCAGGGAGCAAUUGGGUCCACGCGUGGGCUUAGCGAGAGUACCUGAAGAAAAAGCAUCGGCUAACUACGUGCCAGCAGCCGCGGUAAUACGGAGGGGGCAAGCGUUAGGCGGAUUUAGUGGGUGUAAAGGGAGCGUAGACGGGAUGGCAAGUCGGAAGUGAACGCCCAGGGCUGAACCCUGGGACUGCUUUGGAAACUGUUAGACUAGAGUGAUGGAGAGGUAAGUGGAAUUCGCAGUGUAGCAGUGAAAUGCGUAGAUAUCGGGAGGAACACCAGUGGCGAAGGCGGGUUACUGGACAGUAACUGACGUUGAGGCUCGAAAGCGUGGGGAGCAAACAGGAUUAGAUACCCGAGUAGUC
rnacentral:rRNA from 1 species